GCUUGUGCACGACCAAGGAACGCGCUGCGUGCUGAGCGACGUGCGUCAACGCUCCUUGCGCGGACCAGUAGCGGAGUGCUCCGCGUACUACAGAGCGUUUAGGCCUAGCAUCGCGUCCGCCGAAGAAUGAAGACGAACGACACGGCUGGCUCUGUGACAAGUGGUUCAGUGGGUGACCAUGCAAGAAGCGGAGCCCUCGUUCGCCCGUUGGCACAUGUCGCUUUGUGCGAUCACGGCGUUAGCGACAACCCUUUUUACGGCAAGCGGUGCCCUCCGUGCGAUCUCUUGGGUCGGUGUGGUGACAGGAUGCGUGCAGCUCGCAAAUCGCCCCAUCAUCGCAUCCGUCACGAACGCGAGCUCAGUUAUAAUCUGAACUCGACAGGCGCCGAUUGUCACGCAUUCGCACCAGUUUGGCGCCGAUUCCCGUCCUCAGCUGUGGCUGCCGCCUCGCAUGCAACAGUUGAUGCAGCCGAUCCGCGGCUCUGUGGUGCCACACCUGGCAGUGGGCUCAAGGGUCCCAGCUCGUACUUGCCUUCCAGUGCAGCCAGUCGGGCAAGCAGUCUGAUGACUGGCCACCAUGGGGCAGGGGGCGGGGCGGGGCCACCGCCUCUGCACUCUGGCGACUACUCAUCCAAGCUGCACCAUGUGGCCCCACCUCCUCCUCCACCACCGCUCAUGGGUCCUGCGGGUGCGACAGGGGCUCCUGGCACUCAGUCAUAUCCCGUCCAUCCAGAUGUGCGUUUCAAAAGGCUGCCAUUCUACGACAUCAUGGCUGAACUCCACCGACCUGCCAGUCUGAUGCCCAACAGCAACACAAGGUUUCAGGAGAACAGCUUCGUGUUCCACUUCACACCUCAACAAGUACAUGACAUAGUCUCUUCAAGGGACUACAACUUGGGAGCAAAGCAAGACUUCACAGUGCAAGUACAGCUUCGGUUUUGUCUGCUGGAAACAAGCUGUGAGCAGGAUGACAACUACCCUCCAAGCAUGUGUGUCAAAGUCAACUCUAAGGUGUGUCCACUGCCAAGCCCUAUCCCUACCAACAAGCCUGGCAUGGAGCCCAAGCGACCAAGCCGGCCGAUCAACAUUGCUAACAUGUGCCGUCUCUCCCCUACUGUGUCCAACCAUAUCUCUGUCACCUGGCUGUCCGAGUAUGGCCGGGCCUAUGCCUUGGGUGUGUACCUUGUGCGAAAGUUGACAGCAACAACUCUCCUCCAGCGGCUAAAGGCAACAGGCAUGCGGAAUCCCGACCACACACGAGCAAUGAUCAAAGAAAAGCUUCAACAUGACCCUGACUCUGAGAUUGCAACAACAAGUCUGCGUGGAUCUCUAAUCUGUCCGCUGGGCAAGAUGCGAAUGGGUAUUCCAUGCCGAGCACUAACAUGUCCACACCUACAGUGCUUUGAUGCUUCGCUUUACCUGCAAAUGAAUGAAAAGAAACCCACGUGGAUUUGCCCAGUCUGUGAUCGGCCGGCCACCUUCUCCUCAUUGGUGAUCGACGGUUUAUUCAUGGAAAUUGCCAUGAAGGCACCGAGUGAUUGCACUGAGGUUCAAUUCCACGAAGAUGGUUCCUGGUCUCCUUUGGUGCCAAAGAAGGAGACGCAUGUUAUUAACAGCCCCAGUUCCUCCGCAACAGCAUCUACCUCUAGAAGUUCAGCUCCUUCAUCAUCAUCGAGGGAUCCACCUGGUCGGCCCAGCAAGAAACCUCGGGUGGUGGUCAUAGACCUGACAGCAUGUAGCAGUGAUGAGGAAGAUGACGGUGGCCGCAGCUCGGUGCCCACGCCUGGAUCUCACAUGGGCGGGCCACCGCCGUUGGUCUCUGGUAUUUCCGGAGGUGCACACUCUCAGGGAGGCCCUCCGUCAACUCCACUUGGCGGUGCCUUGUCCCCUCCACCUGGGUCUUCGCCACCAUCUUCGUCGUCGGGCGGUACAGCACCUCUCAUCUCCCUGCCUUCGCCCUCGUCUUCUUCGUCUUCCUCGUCCUCUUCCUCGUCGUCCUCUUUCUCAAGCAUUUUGGGCCCCGCAACGGGGCCUCCACUGGGACCCUCACCGCCAUCGUCUGUUGCCCCAACUGUGCCACCCUCAGCCAGCACGACAGGAGGCUCGUCUUCACUGCACUACUCGAGUCCCCCCCUUGGCCCUCUGGGCUCUGCGAGCAGUUCAAGCAGUCGCCUCUUGCCCUCCAGUGGACUUGUGGGCUCUGCGUGGUGGAUAUAUUGACGCUAUUGUAGGCGUGUGCGGUUGUUGAUGCCAGUUGCCAGCCGCGCAUGCUUGCCGUUUCCACCCAUUUCGUGUAGGAAGAGAGCGCUGUGCCGAUCACACGAGUCGUCAAGUUCUGGCCUGCCUCCUUCCACUCUGGCCAGCAGCUCACUUUACCCAGGCAUGCCUGUGAUGGAUGCAGGCACUCCUCCCUACUACCCGCCGGUCUCCAGUCCGUACCCAGAGUACUUCACU
rnacentral:misc_RNA from 1 species